rnacentral:rRNA from 1 species
UACGUAGGGUGCAAGCGUUGUCCGGAAUUAUUGGGCGUAAAGAGCUCGUAGGCGGUUUGUUGCGUCGGCUGUGAAAUCCCGAGGCUCAACCUCGGGUCUGCAGUCGAUACGAGCAAACUAGAGUGUUGCAGGGGAGACUGGAAUUCCUGGUGUAGCGGUGAAAUGCGCAGAUAUCAGGAGGAACACCUAUGGCGAAGGCAGCUCUCUGGGGACG